rnacentral:lncRNA from 1 species
CCUUGCUACGUGCACUGCAUUAGGCUAACCAAGACUUGUCAUUUGCACUUACUGUACAUGUUGCUCUUUUAUAGUUUUGAUUGCUUCUGUUGUCCUCAUUUGUAAGUCGUAUUUGGAUAAAAACGUCUGCUAAAUGACUAAAUGUAAUGUAAAGUAAUAUAAAUGUGAUAAAAGCAGUGAUCGUAGUUCUACACAGGUAAUCACUGGAAAUAGUAGCUUGUUAACAGAAAAACUGUUUUGAAAGCAACUGAGCUACUCACAAAGCAAUAUGCGGUUAGAGUGUCUCCGCCACAGUACUUUGUUUGUGUCAUAUGCCACAUGCUGAAUCUUGCACAAACUCUCUACCCACAAAUCUAAAGACUAUUGAUGUUACCAUAGAAUUCCUGGGAACCAAUUUUCUGUAUGUGUUUUAUUGCCUUAUUCAAGUGAUUUAACAUUUUUAGUUUUUCAUGACUCACCAUAUGAGGUGAACCUCAACCAGCUUCUCUAUGUUCAGGUCAAGCUAAACAGGCUUGACAACAGUCUGGAUCUGUUCCUGGACACCUGUGUAGCGUCUCCAAAUCCCAAUGACUUCAAAGAUCACUCCUAUGACCUGCUGCGUAAUGGAUGUCCCCUUGACAACACAUAUUACUCCUACACCAACGGUCAGCACUACUACGCUCAGAUCCAUUUCCGGGCUUUUAAGUUCCUCCGGACUCAUGCCUUUGUGUACCUGCAUUGUAAGGCGAUCAUCUGCCCCAGUAACGACUACAAUUCUCGCUGCCGCCAAGGUUGCCGCUUACGUCGCAAGAGAUCGCUUGACAGCACCUACCACACCAAUACUGUGACGCUGGGGCCAAUCAAACUCCAAGGUCAGAGGUCUUUCUGAGUCUCACAGUUAAAGCAAUGAUUUACUCACCUGCAUGUUUUUCCAAACCUAUAUACUUUAACUUUCUCUGUGGAGCACAAAAGGAGGAUUUUGAAGAUUCUGGUAAACAACAUGAGUAAAUAAAGUUCGAAUUUUUGGGUCAGUUAUCAAUUUAACUUUAUCCUAAAACUUCUUAUUAAAAAUUAUAUUUAAUUAAGCAAUAAGGUACUAGAAGCUGUAUUAUAAUGAUUUGUGUUGUGCAUAACAAAGCCCUAAUAAUGCCCUACAGAUUUUAUAUGUCAGAGAAACAAGUGGAGCCAUCUUUAGAUUUUGUCUUUGAACUUGUUUUUUUUUUUGUUUUGUUUUUUGCGGUAGCUCUAUGGCAUCACCACUGAAGAGUAUUAGCUGGUGAAUUGGAUUUACUUAUUGUAAAGUUAAGGAAAGUUAUCGUGCAUUGUCAUAUUAGAAGCGGAUGUCAUAAAUUUCAGUAGACCAGGAAUAUUUUAAAAUGAAAGGUUCAUUGAUAAAUUCGUAUGACCUUAAUCUCAUGCUGUGGAAAUAAAAAAGGAACAUAGGAGACAAGG